GGUGGGGUGGCCGAGCGGUUGAAGGCGGCGGUCUUGAAAACCGUUAGGCGCGCUGAGCGUCUCGUGGGUUCGAAUCCCACCCCCACCG
rnacentral:tRNA from 1 species